GAGCAGGCUGUGUCCUACACUGAGCCUGACGUGUCGUAUGCAGUGACGUGGAAUAAAAAUACCUCCUGUGUGAAAUCUGCUGCAGUUACGCGGUCAUUAAUCAAAUAUGUUUUACGGUGCCAAACGUGUCUAAAUAAUUACGAAAGAUCGGGACUGGCAGAGGAUCGGUGCAUCAGUUCACUGGCUUAUGUGAACAAAUUACCAGAGAGAAAUCUCACCCUCUGCAGUCAAACCCACAAGUAUUGAGAAAAGCAAGACCCGUAUUUCAACAUUUCAGAAAAGUCAAGGUACAUCAGCAGCCCUAAGAUUCUCCCAACACUUUUGACCUUUAACUGUACAGACGUGCUUCAAACCUGCAUUUCUUCUCUAGUUUUUUCCUCUCUUCUUCUGUUGUUUUUCUCAGGUUGUUCUGUCUAUGCAGUCAUAGUUUGUAAAUGGAUGAUAUAAAGAUGAAUUCUAUGUUUUCUACAAGGAUGUUUGCAUGUUACUAUUAUGUGAAAGUGAACUAUUAUGUAAAUAAAGUGCCUAAUGUUCCUGUU